rnacentral:rRNA from 1 species
CCUACGGGCGGCAGCAGUGAGGAAUAUUGGUCAAUGGGCUUACGCCUGAACCAGCCAAGUCGCGUGAGGGAAGACUGCCCUAUGGGUUGUAAACCUCUUUUGUCAGGGAGCAAUUGGCGCUACGUGUAGCGUUAUCGAGAGUCCCUGAAGAAAAAGCAUCGGCUAACUACGUGCCAGCGGCCGCGGUAAUACGGAGGAUGCGAGCGUUAUCCGGAUUUAUUGGGUUUACAGGGUGCGUAGGCGGAAUGCCAAGUAAGCGGUAAAAUCGCGGGGCUCAACCUCGCUCCGCCUUUGAAACUGGGUGGCUAGAGUAUGUUUGAGGCAGGCGGAAUGCGUGGUGUAGCGGUGAAAUGCUUAGAGAUCACGCAGAACCCCGAUUGCGAAGGCAGCCUGCCAAGCCAUGACUGACGCUGAUGCACGAAAGCGUGGGGAUCAAACAGGAUUAGAUACCCGGGUAGUC